rnacentral:rRNA from 1 species
GAUGAACGCUGGCAGCAUGCUUAACACAUGCAAGUCAACUGGAAUUUGGGUUUUUAACUUAGGUUUACGUGGCGGACGGGUGAGUAACGCGUAAAGAACUUGCCUCCCUGCUAGGGACAACUUUUGUAAACGAAUCCUAAUACCUACUAUUAUAUUUAUUGGACCUCCUAUAUUUAUGAACACUAUAGGCGCUGUUAUGGGGCUUUGCGUCCCAUUCUCUCGUUGGAGAAGUAACUGCUCACCAAGGCGAUGAUGGGUAGCCGGCCUGAGAGGGUGAUCGGGCACAAGGGGACUGAGACACGGCCCGUACGCGUACGGGAGGCAGGAGUGGGGAAUAGUGGACAAUAGACCGAGAGACUGAUGCAGCAAUUCUGUGUGCAAGAUGAAGUUUUUCGGAAUGUAAAGUGGUUUCAGUUAGGAAGAAACAAAUGACGGUACCAACAGAAGAAGCGACGGCUAAAUACGUG